rnacentral:rRNA from 1 species
GUCAGCAGACAUAUCACCCUAUAGCCCAAAACUGGCCCACUGAAGCUUAGCAGGGUUGGGCCUGGUCAAUACCUGGAUGGGAGACCUCCUGGGAAAACUAGGUUGCUGCUGGAA